rnacentral:rRNA from 1 species
AGUCCACGCCGUAAACGAUGUCUACUUGGAGGUUGUGGCCUUGAGCCGUGGCUUUCGGAGCUAACGCGUUAAGUAGACGCCUGGGGAGUACGGUCGCAAGAUUAAAACUCAAAUGAAUUGACGGGGGGCCCGCACAAGCGGUGGAGCAUGUGGUUUAAUUCGAUGCAACGCGAAGAACCUUACCUACUCUUGACAUCCAGAGAA